rnacentral:lncRNA from 1 species
GUUACAUGUUCUAAAUAACAUACCGGGCCAGCAUGCUCAGAGCUUGUGCUCGCCCCCGUGUCCUGUCUUCCCGCUGAGUGAAUUCAGCAAUUACGAUCGAGCAUUCCAACAGGAACCUCGUUCUUUCUGCGUUAGGUGUGAGCAGGUGAAAGGGGAAGAGGAGGCGCCUGUUGAUUCUUUGACUGAACUGGAGAGUAGUGUGUUGGCUCUCUCGGAAAGCCAGAAAGUUCUGCAUGGUCUGCUGAAGAAUUUCAGAGUGGAAUUGGCUCCAGAAUUGGGUCCUCUUGAAAACGUCUCGUCUGAGGUUCAGAGACAAGUGAGUGGUGAAGACCCAACGGAGGAUGUGCCGGACAGCCCUAAACAAGAGGACACUUCUGUUUGCCUGCUGGACUAUGAGGUAUUGUAUUCUGUGGCUGUUCAGGGAGGUAGGUGCCAGGAAUGGGCUUUAGUGGUCGUCAGAGUGGAUUGAAGUCAGUGGCGCUACAAUGGUCUACACCAGCUCAGGGUCUGCCCUUUGAGUCCACUAGGGACGUCACCAGUGUAUAUUGAUUUUAUGUGGGAGGUGAUAAGAUACUACAUGUAGCCCUUAGAAAUGUUUGAAGUAGGGCCGAGUGAAAGUCCGUAUUUCUGUUUGAUAGUUCCAUAUUUGUUUUCCUCUUGAAUCGAGACAAAAAGUCAAAAUAUCAAAAAAUUUUCACCAAAUGGAAAUUUCUGAAAAAUUUUGAUUUGGAAAUCGCCAAACAUUUCAUUUUGAGUCAGUUUUGACAUUAAACUGCACCUGCCUUUGAUGACUGCAGUGCCUCAUGGGAACUGUAGUUUGGGUGUUUCAUGCCCCCAUUCUCCCUUAUGGGCCUGGUCUCCUUUUGGGACUACAUCUCAUGAUGCACCAUGUGGCUCAGUCAGAGGGGGGAAUGCAGUGCAUGAUGGGAGAUGUAGUCCAACCAAGGUGCCUGGCCCAUAGGGGAGAACAUGGGCAUGAGGCACCUGAACUACAACUCCCAUAAGGAAUCAAAGCAUGUUAGGAAGAUGCAGUUUAAUGUUAAACUGACUCGAAACAAAAUGGUUUGAUUCAAUUCAUCAAAGUGAAGUGUUUCAAGUUGUGUCAAACCAACCCAAAACAAAAUAUUUCCCAAUAGAAAAUCAAAACUUUUCACCAAAAUUGAAAUAUAAUCUAGAUAGAAAAUUCCCAGCCAAAGAUACCAAACCAUGUAUAAUUUCCUGUAACAAUUGACCUGUGAAUAAUGAUGCAGAUCACAAGGGAUCUCCAUAGAGUGACUUGUUUUCUUUCCUUUCUAGGAUGGCAAACUCAACUCAGAUAGGUAAGUGUCUUCUCCUCUCCGUAACACUCAUACUUCGCUACAGGGCGGAUCCAAUACUCAUUGAAAUCAACAUGAGUCCUUCCAUUGACACCAGUGAGCUGUGGGUGAGCCCUAUGUUGGAAAGAGGGGUUAGGAAUUGAUUAAAGAUGG